rnacentral:rRNA from 1 species
UACGUAGGGCGCAAGCGUUUGUCCGGAAUUAUUGGGCGUAAAGCGAACGUAGGCGGUUCCUUAAGUUUGGGGUUAAAGACCGAGGCUCAACCUCGGGAGUGCCCUGAAUACUGGGGGACUGGAGGACGGCAGAGGAAAGUGGAAUUCCCAGUGUAGCGGUGAAAUGCGUAGAUAUUGGGAGGAACACCAGUGGCGAAAGCGACUUUCUGGGCCGUUCCUAGACGGCUGAGGUUCGAAAGCG